UCAGGCCUAACACAUGCAAGUCGAACGGUAACGCGGGGCAACCUGGCGACGAGUGGCGAACGGGUGAGUAAUACAUCGGAACGUGCCCAGUAGUGGGGGAUAGCCCGGCGAAAGCCGGAUUAAUACCGCAUACGACCUACGGGUGAAAGCGGGGGAUCGCAAGACCUCGCGCUAUUGGAGCGGCCGAUGUCAGAUUAGCUAGUUGGUGGGGUAAAGGCCUACCAAGGCGACGAUCUGUAGCUGGUCUGAGAGGACGACCAGCCACACUGGGACUGAGACACGGCCCAGACUCCUACGGGAGGCAGCAGUGGGGAAUUUUGGACAAUGGGGGCAACCCUGAUCCAGCCAAGGCGCGUGCGGGAAGAAGGCCUUCGGGCUGUAACCGAAUGGUCGGGGAAGAAACGGUCUGCGCUAUACCGC
rnacentral:rRNA from 1 species